CCAAAGCCAGUCCCAGUUCGGAUAANAGGCUGAAACUCGCCNCUUUGAAGUCGGAAUCGCUAGUAAUCGCAGAUCAGCAUGUUGCGGUGAAUACGUUCCCGGGUCUUGUACACACCGCCCGUCAAACCAUGAGAGUCACCAACACCCGAAGUCCGCCUUGGCGGCCUAAGGUGGGGAGAUGAUUGGGUUAAGUCGUAACAAGGUAGC
rnacentral:rRNA from 1 species